UACGUAGGUGGCAAGCGUUGUCCGGAUUUAUUGGGUUAAGGUGCGUAGGCGGCCUAUUAAGUCAGUGCUGAAAUAUCCCGGCUUAACCGGGAGGGUGGCAUUGAUACUGAUGGGCUUGAGUGCAGUCGAGGUAGGCGGAAUUGACGGUGUAGCGGUGAAAUGCUUAGAUAUCGUCAAGAACACCGAUAGUGUAGACAGCUUACUAGGCUGUAACUGACGCUGAGGCACGAAAGUGUGGGGAUCAAACAGG
rnacentral:rRNA from 1 species